rnacentral:rRNA from 1 species
AUCGCCUGUUUACCAAAAACAUCACCUCUAGCAUAACAAGUAUUAGAGGCAUUGCCUGCCCAGUGACUAAAGUUAAACGGCCGCGGUAUCCUGACCGUGCAAAGGUAGCAUAAUCACUUGUUCCUUAAUUAGGGACUAGAAUGAAUGGCUAAACGAGGGUUCAACUGUCUCUUACUUUCAAUCAGUGAAAUUGACCUUCCAGUGAAGAGGCUGGAAUACUACAAUAAGACGAGAAGACCCUAUGGAGCUUUAAUUUACUAGUUUAAUUUAUAUAAUAACAACCUAAUGGACCAAGACAAAAUAAAUAUAAACUAAAAAAUUUCGGUUGGGGUGACCUCGGAGAAUAGAAAAUCCUCCGAAUGAUUUUAACCUAGACCUACAAGUCAAAGUAAUAUUAAUAUCUUAUUGACCCAAUUAUUGAUCAACGGACCAAGUUACCCUAGGGAUAACAGCGCAAUCCUAUUUAAGAGUUCAUAUCGACAAUUAGGGUUUACGACCUCGAUGUUGGAUCAGGACAUCCCAAUGGUGCAGAAGCUAUUAAUGGUUCGUUUGUUCAACGAU